GGAAAUUAUCCAUCUAAUAGUCGAUUACUUCUGUUGUUGGAUGCUUGUCCUAAAGACGUUUCUAUGCACAGAAGGCUUCCAUCAAAGAGUCUUCAAAAUAUCGUCAACAGUGCUUGCGUUCAUCCAAAGGGUGGACGGGCUCUGGAAAACGUUAACCUUGUCUAUCAUCACGGAUGCGAUCAGAGUAGACUUGUUCUAGACUUCUUUGAAUUGCCAUCCGUAAAGUAAAAAAGGCAUCAGAUCGAUUUCCCUUGCAGUCGCUUUUGCAAUUCUGAUAAUUCGUUGUGCCCAAAAGUCAAGACGUCAAUCCCAGUCUUUACAGAAUUUACAGUUUUCGUGCAUAUCAUUUUUAAUUUAGAUAACUAAUCAGGAAAAUACAGCCGAUCUUCUGCGACAA